GGUAGAAUUGGCAGGCUAAUUGCUCAGAACUAGAAUAUUGAUCCAGAUUUUUACAUUAUCCAUCCCCUUUUGUUUUGUCUUAGCCACAUCCGGAGAUUGCUGCUUGGUUCAUAGGAAUAAGCAAGGUUAGUCUAAAAUGUAGACAAAAGUUAACUAAUGAUGAUAAGUUAUAAAACCUAAUUUCUCUCUAGUCCUCAUUUCUGUUAAAAACAAAUCAUGAUAGAGCUGCGUUCUUUGCAAAAUAGACUUUAGUCUUAUACUUGUCCUGAUUGUUUGCUUAAAGUGCGGCAAGAAUAAUAAUUUCUACACAGGCAUUUUAGAUUGGCUUUGAUGGAACUCUGUUCUACAAGGAAUCAGUGGGGGAUCCAUCAGAUGGCAGGAAAAACUAUAGAGAAAGGAUGCAAACCUUCUGAAAGGUCAGAGGGUUUUGCAGAGUCCCGGGGAAGGAACAGGUGAAGGUAGCUGUUCUAUAACCCUGAGGCAGAGGGAAAGGAGAAACAGGGAGUGUAGGGGAAUUUAUCUUAAACAGGCUUGAUUACUUAUGUUGACCUGGAACUGACCUUUGAUUACCCAGGCACCACGUUCCCAGGAAUGGGAACGAUAAAUGUUAAUUACCUACAGGUUGUAUUGGCUCCAGGUUUUCGGCAUUGUGCCUGCCCUGAAUAAAAGCAAGCAGCUCCAGCCUCUCGGGGGCCAGUCUCUUGCUGCUAGUGCUAGGCAGUUGCCUGGCUGCUCUUACACUGCGUAUCUGUGUCCCAGUAUCCAUUUCAUCCUUCGGUCACGGUCUGUGAAACAGACCCAGCAAAUCUCAGCGUCCAUUUUACCUGGAGAUGGAUGUCAAGAUGUAAAUUGACUGGGUCUCUGGUACCAGUCCCUUGACUCCAGUAUAGUGAGUCCACCCCUGUUCAGCUGUUCACAUGACUGUCUCAGUGGUCAGAAGCACUUGAUACGGACCUUCCCAGCUUGGGUGGAGUUUAUCUUUUUUCCAACUCUUAAUCAGCACCAAGUUUCCCGGGUGGAAGUGGUGAACCAUGAACUUGAGAGGCAGAGUUUGAGUCAGAAGUUCUUUUAACCUAAGUAUGUAAUUUCUUAAGAAUUGUCCUUGGUUUCCAUAGUAGGGAGAUCUGUAGCCCUGUCCAAAUAUGGGACUCCAUAUAAUAACUCAGAGGGGCCCAAUCCUGAGUCUUUUCAUGGGGCUAUCCUAAUCUUUAGGAGUGCUAUUAGGAGACAUUUGAUCCAAAGCAUUUUAGUUUCUAAGAUUAGUUUGGUGAUAUGCUUUUUGAGGGUUUGAUUCAUUCUUUCUGCCUUUCCAGAGGAAGCAAGAUGCCAAGGAGUGUGAUAAUCUCAUCUAAUUUGUAAACCUUCCAUAAUUCCCCUUGAGAUGAAGUAACUUCCCAUGAGAUGAAGUUACUCUUGAGAUGAAGAGUACUCCCCUUAAGUAACUCCCCUUGAGAAGAAGUUACUCUUGAGAUGUAAACCUUCCAUAAUUCCCCUUGAGAUGAAGUUACUCUUGAGAUGAAGUAACUCCCAUUACCUUAAUCAAUAUUUUUCACUAGGCCAAAUCUAGGCACAAUCUGUUCUAAUAUUAUUUUGACAACAUUCCUGGUGGCUGUUGGAAGGGAAAAGGCCUCUACCCAGCCAGAGAGGUGAUCUACAAUUACCAGUAAAUACUUUAGUCUUCCUAUUUUGGGCAUUUCUGUGAAAUCUACUUGAAUGCUUUGAAAUGGUCUUAGUCGAGGAGGUCUUCCUCCCAUGCUUUGUUGUCACAUCACUUUUUGUUUAUCCUUUGAUAAGUUAAAUAACUUCCACAUAUUCCACAUACUUGUUCAGUGAGGGUAUAAAUCCUAUACACCCAUAAUUCCUGUGUAUUACAUUACACAGAGUCUGCAGUCCCCAGUGACUCCCUUUGUAUAAUAUAGACAUUAGUUCUCUUAUUAAGGGUGUACUCACAUUAGCUCUCUUACACUGUCCACCUUUAUCUCAGCUGUCUGCUCUGGCUCUGUGGCUCCUGCUGCCCUCAUGCCUGCAACUUCAUUCCCUGGCCUGCAAGGUCAGCUUACUUACAAAGUUAACCUUCAAAAGCUAACCUUUUCCUACUGGGUCCUCUGGAUUUAAUCUGGAGUAUUUUCUCAUCUGAUCUCUGAGCCUCUGCAGGAAUGCAGAGGGAGUUUCCUCUUUAUCUUGUUGAAUCUCGAAUGCCUUAGAGACAGUUUGUGUCCUAAGAGUAGAUUCUUUGAUUCCUUUAAUUAUUAGUUCCCUGAGGUCCUGCAUUUAGGCCCCGUUCCUGGGAUCUUUAUGAUCCCAUUUGGGAUUGACAUUUGGAAAUUUUUGUUUUGCUGGCAAGACUACUUGCCUCAGAGACUGUUGCCUCUCCCAGAUGGUCAUGGCCACUCUCCUAAUCAUUCCCCUUUUUUCUCCUGUGAAUAGGAUAUUGAUGAUAGACAUCAUUUUAGUCUGGGUAUAAAAGCUGGGUCCUAGGAAUUGGUCCAGCUGGUUUGCUACACAGAAAGGAUCUUCUAAGAGUGGUUUUAUUUCCUUCUUGAAAUUUUUAACCUCAGUACUUAUAAGAGGAAUAUUUAUAAAGCCAAACUCUCCUGGUCCCAUGGGAAAUUCCCUAAGCAGAAACAUGCUAGAUGGCUGCUGCUUGAAAGAGAUAAGGAAGUUCUCAAUAUCCCUCUUACACUGUUCUAAUUCUCUUAGUAAAUUUGGAUACGGAUCUGAAGGAGCAUUUGGUUCAUUUCCCCCAUGGUCUCUGGGUCUUUCUUCCUCUAACCCUCCUGCUGCCCCUUGAUCUUCUUGUCCACUGUUUUAUAGGCAGGGGCAAGCAUGAUAGGGAGAUCUCUAGCCUUUUUAGUGGGUGAGGGCUCUUCACUAGACUUUUUUUUUCUUCUUCUAGGGGGAACAUGAGGGCUAAUUCCUUAAUUCAGCAGAGAGCAGA
ensembl:lncRNA